rnacentral:tRNA from 1 species
UGUAGAAUGGUGAAACUGGCAGACGCGCCCUCCUCUCUCGGGGGUGGAGAUUUGGGAAAAACUGGUCCGGCGGCCGGCUAACUACUCCAUGGAGGUUCGAAUCCUUCUUCUACAG